GAGUAGUAAUAGUUAAGGUCUUGAAACUUAAAGAAUUUGGCGGUAUUUUAGUCUAUUCAGAGGAACCUGUUCUAUAAUCGAUAAUCCACGAGGACUUUACUAGUAUUUGAAUUUUAAUUUGUAUACCGCCGUUAUAAAUUAUUUUAUAAGAUAAAAGAAUUUUUUAAAUUUUGGAAAAUAUAUCAGGUCAAGGUGCAGUUAAUAUACUAGGAAGAAAUGGGUUACAAUAAGAUUAUUUAAACGGAUUAUAAAAUGCAAUUUUUGUAUGAAGGUGGAUUUGAUAGUAAAAUUAUGAAUCUAGUUAAUUUGAUUUUAGCUCUAAAAUAUGC
rnacentral:rRNA from 1 species